rnacentral:rRNA from 1 species
AACGAACGCUGGCGGCAUGCCUAACACAUGCAAGUCGAACGAGACCUUCGGGUCUAGUGGCGCACGGGUGCGUAACGCGUGGGAACCUGCCCUUAGGUUCGGAAUAACUCCCCGAAAGGGGUGCUAAUACCGGAUAAUGUCUUCGGACCAAAGAUUUAUCGCCUUUGGAUGGGCCCGCGUUGGAUUAGCUAGUUGGUAGGGUAAAAGCCUACCAAGGCGACGAUCCAUAGCUGGUCUGAGAGGAUGAUCAGCCACACUGGGACUGAGACACGGCCCAGACUCCUACGGGAGGAGGCAGUGGGGAAUAUAGGAAAAUGGGCGAAAGCCUGAUCCAGCAAUGCCGCGUGAGUGAUGAAGGCCUGAGGGUUGUAAAGCUCUUUUACCCGGGAUGAUAAUGACAGUACCGGGAGAAUAAGCCCCGGCUAACUCCGUG